rnacentral:tRNA from 1 species
GGAGAGGUGUCGGAGUGGUUGAACGUGACAGACUCGAAAUCUGUUAUACCGAAAGGUAUCGGGGGUUCGAAUCCCUCCCUCUCCGCCA